UCCGCAUUGUCUGCGGCAGUCAGCCUAGAGUGCCCAACCCAAUGCUGGCAACUAAGCUCAAGGGUUGCGCUCGUUGCGGGACUUAACCCAACAUCUCACGACACGAGCUGACGACAACCAUGCACCACCUGUCUCCUCUGCCCCGAAGGGACGCCCUAUCUCUAGAGCCGUCAGAGGGAUGUCAAGCCCUGGUAAGGUUCUUCGCGUUGCUUCGAAUUAAACCACAUGCUCCACCGCUUGUGCGGGCCCCCGUCAAUUCCUUUGAGUUUCAGUCUUGCGACCGUACUCCCCAGGCGGAGUGCUUAUUGUGUUAACUGCGGCACGAAAGGUGUUGAAACCUCUCACACCUAGCACUCAUCGUUUACAGCGUGGACUAC
rnacentral:misc_RNA from 1 species